CAAGUUUUCAGUUUUAAAAGUAGAAAUACUAUCAUAAACCUUAUAUAUAGUGACUAAUUUAAACACUUUUGAGUCAUCUACAAUAUAGUUUUACCCAUUCCUAUCAAUAGAAACAACCCUAAUAUAUUAUUUUUAUAUUUACUCCUCAGGUGGAAUGGCUAUUUUAAUAUGCCCAGUGUGGAUAAGAUAUCACAUUUCUGUGACUAAAGAGCUUAUAUUUCUCUAGUUUAUAAAUUUUAAAAAUCUAUUUUCCCCUCAUAAAAUACCUUUUAUUUCCACUAAAGCCAUCCAAAUUAAAUCAAUUUAGGGUUGUAAACAAUAAUUUACAUCCAAUAGUUACUUUUAAUAUUUAUAUUCUUGUUAUUUCUGCAAGCAAACCUCUGUUUGGCACUUGGUAUUCUACCAGUUGCCUUUAAAACUUUUUUUUUUUAUUUCACUGAAGGAAAGGAACGUGUAGGAUUUAACAGUAACCACUGCACUGAAUAUGGUGGCAUGUGGAAUCAUGAUAUUCUUCACUAAAUUUUGCUGUCCCUGAUCACAAAUUCCAAAAUAAUACAGCAUAAUUUUUAGUGCAUUUCUCCUCACUAGGAAUGUUGGAGGUGCAUUUUAAGUUUUCAUAAUAAAUGCUAGAAUGACCAAAUUGCAGACUAAUUAUUUCCAUAUUGUACUUAAAAAUGAGUUUUUAAAAAUGAAAAGAGAUGACUAUAUACAAUCAAUGCUAUUUAUUGUACCUCUGGGCCUACUGUUCCAAAAAUUGAGCUUAUCAUUUUUUCUCUGUCAAGCUUGAACUAAUGUAAAUAAUUGAAAUAAUGUAAAGUUAUAUUUUCAUGUUUUUAUAGAUACAACAUGAGAAGAAUACAUAAUGUAAGAGUAUUUCAACUAUGGAUAAUGUUGAUUGGAUAAUGCACAUCUCAGUUACAAACAGUAAUUAUAGUCUAAUAUCCAUGUAACGGUGCAUCAAUAUACUGCUAUAUAAAUAUGUCUGUGUGCAUAUAAGUGAAAAGUGGACAAACAAGAGUGAUGACAGAUGUCUAAAGGUUUUUUUAUUCAUUUUAUAUAAAACCAGUUAUGGAAAGACCAAAAUGUUUAUGAACUAUUCUUAUGUAAAUUUACAACUGUCCUUUACUGUACUUUUUUGUUUACAGUAUAGUACCUUAUUUUCUGCUGUGUUAAGUGGGUGUCAAGCUCCAAGGAGACAUACACUUUCUACAACUUCUAUUGAAGAUAUUGGGAUUUCCAAUUUUUCAGUGUACUCUGUCAGAAAAUGCUUUUGAUUUUAUUUUUAAAUCUAACAUCGGAUGGCUUUUUCGGAGUGUUGUAAAAAU
rnacentral:lncRNA from 1 species